UUCGUCUCUCAGCAUUCACUGAGGUGCUUCUUAUCUAGUUCUCAUUAAAUUACUGUGCCUUCAAACGAUGUUCAGGUGGCUUCAGAAAAGGUUCUGAUGAACAGUGAGGCUGCCAUUCUCAGGAUGAAGUAUGCCUCAUCUGAAUCCUUGAGAGUCAGCAGGAAGAUUGUCUAUCCAAGGGAAGUGAAUCUGUCUGUCAGGAUAGGAGGGUACUACAAAGUAGAAGGAAGAGAGUACCAUUUGCUGAUGCAAGAAAUUGUCAGAGGAAGCCCAAGAGGGAGCUGGAUAUAGUCUGUGUCUGCAAGCCUACGUAUACAGGAUCAGCCCUGACAAGCAUAAAGGGCAAACAGGAAGUGUGAGCUGAAACCAUCUACAAGAACAGGGAGCAUCUAAACAAACCCUUUUACAAGAUCAACAAAAGGCACCCAGAAAGCCAGGACCCAAAGAGAAAAACAUAGAUCCCAUCCUAUGUGGCAUUGCCAUGGGUUACACGCUCUUCAGUUGCCUGGUCCUCUGUCUCCUGGUGGCAGGUCCAGUCGACCCUAAAAUUAUCCAGAAACCAAAAUUUCUGGUGGCAGUCACAGGGAGUGAAAGAAUCUUGAUAUGCGAACAGCAUCUAGGACACAAUGCUAUGUAUUGGUACAGACAAAGUGCUAAGAAGUCCCUAGAGCUCAUGUUUUCCUAUAGCUAUCAAAAACUUAUGGACAACCAGACUAUCCCAAGUCGCUUCCAACCUCACAAUUCAGAGAAAUUGUUAGACCUUCAGAUCACAGCCCUGAAGCCUGAAGAUGUGGCUACAUAGUUCUGUGCCAGUAGCCAAGACACAGCCCUGCAAAGCUCUUGCUUCUCUGUACACAAACCUCCUUUCCAGGAAACUGCUGAUGUAACUGGUCUACCUGUGCCUGGAGACUCAGUUCCGUAGUCCACAGGUCUCAAGUCAAAACCUCAGACCACAAUGCCACCUGCUAAUUAGAUGUCGUACUGCCAAUUCUGGGCCUGUAAGGCAGCAGCGUUGAGUUGACUUGAGUAAAACAUUGUCUACUGUUAAAUAUGGAACUUACAAGCUCAAGUUGAAGUUGUUUCGAGUUUGUAGUCCUGAGAAAUCGUUUACGGACCACUUAACUGUUCUCACCAACCUCUUCAUAUCCUUAUAUGACUUCUCUUUUCAAGAAGAGUCUGUACUUCUGUCCUUAUUGUAGCUCUAAGUAUGCUCACAUUUUUGCUGAGAAAUCCCCCCUCUCCCUAAGUGGCUCUUUGAGUUCCUAUAUCCCAGGAUAAUCUUUCCUUAUUUGAUCUUUACCAUUGAUUAAUUUACUCUCCUUGCUUAUGGUCAGGUUCUCAACUCUUGCUUUUCUUUCCCUUGGAGGCUUCUAACACUUUCAGGCUUGACUCUGUCCUUCCAUCUCUUUAAUCUUCAUGCUGACGCUUUGUACUCCAUAUUGUUAGUUGUGGAGUCUGAUGCCUUUGAGGUGUUGCUAACCACAGUAAUGACAAAGACCCCUCCAGCAUUUCUAAGGAAGACUUAAUUCUUACCACUUCUUUGCUGAUUACUCCUUGCAGCGGCCCUUUGUCUUGUGCACACCAUCAGAUCUAUCUCUGAGUCAGAAUCCUGAACCCUCAGGCGUCUGCUAUAUGCAUGAUAUUAGGUUUCCUUUCUCCCACAGAGGGCAGUCUGCAGGUAGUAGCUGUUGCCACUCACCAAAGCCCUGUCAGACCUGGCCUAUGGAACCGUAGGAACUUAGCAUGCCUUUCCUCUGUUUCUGAUGUGCAGCCACUCAAGCUAGGAGAAACUACAUUUCUGCUGUG